GUCUACGGCCAUGCCACCCUGAAAAAAGCCUUAUCCCAUCUGAUCUUGGAAGCUAAACAGGGUCAGGCUUGGUUAGUACUUGAAUGGGAGACCACCUAGGAAGACCAGGUGCUGUAGGCA
rnacentral:rRNA from 1 species